UACGAAGGGGGCUAGCGUUGUUCGGAAUUACUGGGCGUAAAGGGCGCGCAGGCGGUCGUUCAAGUCAGGCGUGAAAGCCCCCGGGCUCAACCUGGGAACAGCGCUUGAGACUGAGCGACUUGAGUUCGGGAGAGGAGAGCGGAAUUCCCAGUGUAGAGGUGAAAUUCGUAGAUAUUCGCAAGAACACCAGUGGCGAAGGCGGCUCACUGGCCCGGUACUGACGCUGAGGUGCGAAAGCGUGGGGAGCAAACAGG
rnacentral:rRNA from 1 species